UUCAACAGAUUUAAUUUAUUUUUGUUUAAGGCAUGACAUCAGCACUUAGUCGUAUUUUCAAAAUGACUACUUAUUAAUAUUUUUUAUUUAAUUUAUUAAUUAUUUGGUUUUAUUAUAGUUGUUUUGAUUUUUAUAAUGAUGAUAUUACUCAUAACAUAAUAUGUUGUAAGAAAUACAAAAUAUUGAAAUAGUUUUGCCGUAGGACGGACGACACGCGUCAAGCAUUUGUACUUUGUUGAACCAAAAGUGCUCAUAAAAAGGCGAUGCUACAUAUAGUUACAAUUGACAUUUGCUCACCGUUCUAUAUACACAUGGACUUAACAGAAACAGAUUUGUGGAUAUUAUUAUUUGACAUUGAGAAAUUAAUCGGUACAUGAUGAUAAUGAUGUGUAAAAAGAGGAAAAUAAUAAAACAUUUUGUUUUUGUUCUGCACGAUAACAUACAACAAAGGCUAUACAAAUGAAAAUAAUCGAUAUUCGUCCCGGCAGUUAAACGUUUUCAAUUGAAACGAGUAACAGCUUAUUUUUUUGGACAACAUAUUCUUACAACAUUUUUAUUUAUUUAAACCUGUACAGUUGUAUAAGCAUUUAUUUAUAAAUAAUAUAACUGUUUGCUGGAGGAGAAAUGAACCUGCCCUUACUCACUUAAUGAUAUCCUUGUUUUUAUGUUAACUAAAAUAAAAAAAGCCAAAAAGUCUUUUAAGAAAAAACCCAUUUUAUAUGAAUUGUGUAAAAUAUUUUGUAAUUUCACUUGCACUGUUUAUAAUUUUCUGAAUAAUAAAAUCGGUAUAUA